AAAGGGCAGUAGUACCUUGCACUCUCAAGCCCUCUAAGUAGGAUAAAAAAAUCAGCCUAAUAAAAAGAUUCCAAUUUGCCAUGUCAUACCCACCUUCUCUCGACACCGACUCAUAUUUCAAUACCAAAACAAUUACCAGUUCGUCUUCCAAACCGUUCUAUAAUUGCUUUCAUCAAAGAAAAAUCGAUGGCCACUACUUCAGCCUCUCUUUUUUUUUUCCCAGGGAUCAUCAUAAUAAACCCUUCCCCACCACAAAUGAUUCCAUCAACUUUGAAAAUCGAUUUAAUUAUAUGAAGCUCAUUAGGCCGAGAUCGAUUUAUUCAACUCCUCCGGUGAGGCCGAGGAUAUUGAUCUCAAGUGACAUGAAUGAUAAGAGCAAGGAUGGAAGGAUCUGUUUCCGUAUACGGUGAUUUUGAUUUAGUUCAGCUGAGGAAUGGGAAUUCAAUGCCAGCUCAUAGUUCCCAGAGAUCAUCUAAUAAGAAAACAGAGGACGUACAAUGGAGAUCAUGAGGAGGAUGAAGAAGUAGGAAAGAAGGGUAUCAAUGUGAUUAUGAACGUUACAAAGGAGCGAAGGUUAAUAGCAUCCAAACAAAACGUUUUAAGUACUAUCUCAUCAGGUGGUUUUGUAGAACAUCAGACAUAUGAGAAUCAGAGUGUAGCUCAGAGGAGGUCCAAGGAGGCAUGGCAUGUUCCUCUGCGUCGUCCUUCAAGAAAAGAAUUCUAUCCCUUACAUGCACCAUCUCAUGAUUCCAUUUGGAGCUAUCAGACGUGAAGUUAGGAGCUCUGAAAAUGUUUAGAAAGAUUCAUUUGCAUUGGAAUCUUUGGUGGAGUUUGCAGUUAUAAAAUUUGUUCCAGAAUAACAGAGACCAUUCUCCCCAAUUUCAAAGAUGGUUCAAGAAAGUUAAGCUAAUGAGCGAGAGGCUGUUAUACCUAAUCAUAGGUCUCUUCCGAACAGCCAGUACGGGGUAAAAGCUACCAAUAUGUGAGAAUACAACAAGCUGGUGGCCAUCCAAAAGGAUUUUCUCUGAAUAAGCAGUGGAAACCUAAUUCUAAUGGGUAUGUGUGUUCAGCUUUGGAACAUUCCUCAUAGGCCAAUGAUCUCAAUGUCAGCUUCAUUCAGUGAUAGCGUAUGUGGGACUCAUGGGACUCAUCUAUCUCGGCGUCAUUUUUGUAUUUAGAUUUGUAAUCCACAUGUAAACGAUACAUAGAUAUACAUCUCUUUCUCCCUCUCUUUGCAUGUUCGGAUUUGAAACUCAGAGUAAGAGAAUAUAUAUAUAUAUGUGUGUGUGUGUGAAUAGGCGCAGGAGAAUAAUGGGGCAUAAAGGGGUUGGAGUGAGUGAGAAAGAUGUGAAGAGGAUACUCAUGCACAUAAUCCCUUGCCUUAACGAAUCUCUGCUUCAACGCAGGGCCAUUUUCUCUGGCGAUCCUCCACCUCUCUCAAGGCUAAGUCUUCUUAUGCUCAUCUCUUUAUCUUUCUUGCUUUAUUAAGCUUAACAAACAGGAGAUUGUGAAAACAAUGUUCAUAUGGAAGUAGUGAUUUUCAUCUUGGCCAGGUGUGGCUUUUUCCCACUCUCUCGACGUGCGCAGUAUAUUCAUCUCCGGAAUGUGCUAGAAGGGCGAGUUUGGCUGGCUGAUUAUGGGACGACAUGGUUGAAAGAAAAUGCAGCCAAAUGCUUUCAGGGUUAUUGAAGAAAUGCUGGAGAAUGGUUGGGUCGCUAAUAAAACGACGUUUCUUUUAUAUUGUUCGAGGGGUUGCAUGACUUAGGGAAAGAAAAGAAUGAGAUUAAGUGGUAAGUAUGAAUUUUUUGAGCCGGAAAAUAGAUAAAGAAUCUUGGGAACUUUU